rnacentral:rRNA from 2 species
GCAGUCGAACGAUGAUGGUGGUGCUUGCCUGCCUGAUUAGUGGCGAACGGGUGAGUAACACGUGAGUAACCUGCCCCUCACUUCGGAAUAACCUCGGGAAAUCGUGGCUAAUACCGGAUACGAGCUACUGCCGCAUGGUGGUGGUUGGAAAGAUUUAUCGGUGGGGGAUGGACUCGCGGCCUAUCAGUUUGUUGGUGAGGUAAUGGCUCACCAAGGCGAUGACGGGUAGCCGGCCUGAGAGGGCGACCGGCCACACUGGGACUGAAACACGGCCCAAACUCCUACGGGAGGCAGCAGUGGGGAAUAUUGCACAAUGGGCGAAAGCCUGAUGCAGCGACGCCGCGUGGGGGAUGACGGCCUUCGGGUUGUAAACCCCUUUCAGUAGGGAAGAAGCGAGAGUGACGGUACCUGCAGAAGAAGCGCCGGCUAACUACGUGCCAGCAGCCGCGGUAAUACGUAGGGCGCAAGCGUUGUCCGGAAUUAUUGGGCGUAAAGAGCUUGUAGGUGGCUUGUCGCGUCUGCCGUGAAAACCCGAGGCUCAACCUCGGGCGUGCGGUGGGUACGGGCAGGCUAGAGUGUGGUAGGGGAGACUGGAACUCCUGGUGUAGCGGUGAAAUGCGCAGAUAUCAGGAAGAACACCGAUGGCGAAUGCAGGUCUCUGGGCCAUUACUGACACUGAGAAGC